GCGACGCCGCCGCGCUGCCCCUCUCACCCACCGCCUCCACUCCACGCCAAGAGAGGGCAACGGCCUCGCCUGCUUUUGCCGACGCCAGCAGCCAGCGGAGUCAACCCGCGUCGCCGCCGCACCUCACGCCGCCAACCCGGGCCCGCGAGCACCCCGACCUCGAAUCGGAGAAGCCGUGGAUGCACGCCACGUAGCCCUGUCCGCGAACCGCCUUCCACCGGACGAUCCUAGACGUCCGUGCCGCCGUGAGGACCAAGCCAAAGCCCUAGCGCCCCUUUAAAGCCCCGCUCGGCCGCACCCCAAACCCUAGCUCGGGGAAUUUUCUUCCCCUCCCAUCGCCGCGAGGAGGAGAGAAGGGAGGCAAGGAGGAGAAGAGAAGGAGCACCGCGAGGAGGAGAAGGAUCACCACCGCCGGGAACUCCGUCAAGCCAGCGCCCCGUUCGAUGACUCCAGCGCUGUGGGUCGGCACUGCACAGCACCGGCUCGCCACUGCUUCGGAUUGCCGCCGCGUCGAGCCCCUCUCCAUCGAGCCGCACGGUCCUGCUGCUGAAGAGAAGACCGACGACCAGGACUACUAGAAGUCUCAGGAGUUCUACGAGGAGCACUCAGUUUGGCAAGAUGCAGAAUCCGAUUAGGAGUUCGACACCAACAACGGCGGAUGAUACGAUUAAAGCUUAGAAGCCCGUGCUACGCUCAAGUGCUGCCUGUGGAGUUGAAGUUCGAGAUGAAGGGUGGCCUGAAGACCAGCUACCGCUAUCGUUUUCUGUUUGUUCCAGUAUAGCUCAUUGGGCUUGUAAUAAAAUAUUUAUAUUGCAGAUCCUCUGGAUUUUGUAAUAAUUAAAUCCAUGUUUGAACCUCUUUUAAGUGAGUAUGAACUGAUUUACUGUCUGCAA